UAGGGAAUAUUAGUAAUGGGCGAAAGCCUGAACUAGCAACACCGCGUGUGCGAAGAAGGCCUUUGGGUUGUAAAGCACUUUUCGAGAGGAUGAGGAAGGACGGUACUCUCAGAAUAAGUCUCGGCUAACUACGUGCCAGCAGCCGCGGUAACACGUAGGAGGCAAACGUUAUCCGGAUUUACUGGGCGUAAAGUGCGUGUAGGUGGUUUGGUAAGUAGAGCGUGAAAGCUCCGGGCUCAACUGGGGAACGGCGUUCGAAACGGGCGGACUAGAGGAUGGUAGAGGGGAGUGGAAUUCCAGGUGUAGCGGUGGAAUGCGCAGAUAUCCGGAGGAACACCAGUGGCGAAGGCGGCCUCCUGGACCACUCCUGACACUCAGACGCGAAAGCUAGGGUAGCAAACG
rnacentral:rRNA from 1 species